CGCGGGGUAGAGCAGUUGGCAGCUCGUCGGGCUCAUAACCCGAAGGUCGCAGGUUCGAGUCCUGCCCCCGCAA
rnacentral:tRNA from 1 species